UACGUAGGGACCAAGCGUUGUUCGGAUUUACUGGGCGUAAAGGGCGCGUAGGCGGCAAUUCAAGUCAGUUGUGAAAUCUCCGAGCUUAACUCGGAACGGUCAACUGAUACUGCUUUGCUAGAGUACAGAAGGGGCAAUCGGAAUUCUUGGUGUAGCGGUGAAAUGCGUAGAUAUCGAGAGGAACACCUGCGGCGAAGGCGGGUUGCUGGGCUGAUACUGACGCUGAGGCGCGAAAGCUAGGGGAGCGAACGGG
rnacentral:rRNA from 1 species